rnacentral:lncRNA from 10 species
CAGAGGCAAGAUUACCAACCUGAUUAAGAGCAGGACUGAGUGUGGGCAGAGGGAGAAUUGAACAGAAACUCUGAUUCAUAUCCCUUCCCUGCUCAGCCCUCCGAUGGCUUCCCAUCACUCAUACAACCAAAUCCAAAGUUCUCUCCUGGCAUACAAGCCCCUGCUGAUCCCUGUACUCAUCUUCCUCCCCCUCUCCCUUUGCUCUCU